rnacentral:rRNA from 1 species
UACGUAGGGUGCGAGCGUUGUCCGGAAUUAUUGGGCGUAAAGAGCUCGUAGGCGGUUUGUUGCGUCGGCUGUGAAAUCCCGAGGCUCAACCUCGGGUCUGCAGUCGAUACGAGCAAACUAGAGUGUUGCAGGGGAGACUGGAAUUCCUGGUGUAGCAGUGAAAUGCGUAGAUAUCAGGAGGAACACCGAUGGCGAAGGCAGGUCUCUGGGCUGACACUGACGCUCAUGCACGAAAGCGUGGGGAGCAAACAGG